rnacentral:ncRNA from 1 species
AUGGUUCCCCGCUAAGACAUCAAAUGUCUGGGGAUCAAAUGGGAAUGUGGACAGGGACGACCCAAAAGGGGCCUAAAACCACAACCGCCCCCGCGACUGUAUGUGGAGAGCGCCCGUCAACUACGCCACUGAUAGCAAUAUCGGGAAGGCAGAUGGCGCGCAUUGACCCACAAGUCAGGAAACCAGCCUUGCGUGAC